AUUUGUUCAACAAUCAUGAGGAAAUCAAGACUGACUGAAGUCACAAAAUAUACAAAAUAUAUAGGAGGCUGAUUGAAUCCAGCUCUCUUGAACCCCACUAAAAAGAAAAUUGUUUUGUUUUCUUUAGUUGGAGCUUCCAUUAUAGUCGAAGUAUUGGAAAUGAUUAUCUUCAACAAGAUGUAAAUUGGUACUGAUAUUCUGGGCUCCUCAGUCUAAACACUAAACUUGUAGUUUGAAUACCUUGAAGGUUGCCUCACUUUUUGUGACUGUCUUAUUUAAUCAGAUUUGAAUAAAUACAUCAAGCAUCAUGGCAGACUAACCUAUGGAACAAAACUUUUGGUGAAGCACUUCAAUGAAAACAUUAUAUGAAGACACGACAACCUAAAUUUUUUCAUCAGAUCCAAACUAAAUAGUGCUUGGCAAUUUCUUUGUUAUGAUGAUAAGUAUGCAAUGUACUUUGAAACUAAAAAGAGACCCUGUUACGUGACAAGGUUAUUCAAAUGGAACAUAGCCAGGAAGUUCUUUGUGAAGGUAUCAGCUGAGGGAAUAGCAACAAAUAAACAAAUAAAUAAAUAAAUAUCGUCACAGCAGCUA